rnacentral:rRNA from 1 species
GACGAACGCUGGCGGCGUGCUUAACACAUGCAAGUCGAACGAAGAGCGAUGGAAGCUUGCUUCUAUCAAUCUUAGUGGCGAACGGGUGAGUAACGCGUAAUCAACCUGCCCUUCAGAGGGGGACAACAGUUGGAAACGACUGCUAAUACCGCAUACGAUCUAAUCUCGGCAUCGAGGAUAGAUGAAAGGUGGCCUCUACAUGUAAGCUAUCACUGAAGGAGGGGAUUGCGUCUGAUUAGCUAGUUGGAGGGGUAACGGCCCACCAAGGCGAUGAUCAGUAGCCGGUCCGGGAGGAUGAACGGCCAAAAUGGGAAUGGGACAAGGCCCAGACCUCUACGGGAGGCAGCAGGGGGGAAACUUCCGCAAUGGACGAAAGUCUGACGGAGGAACGCCGCGGGAGGGAUGACGGCCUUCGGGUUGUAAAGCUCUGUUAAUCGGGACGAAAGGCCUUCUUGCGAACAGGUAGAAGGAUUGACGGUACCGGAAUAGAAAGCCACGGCUAACUACGUG